AUGGCCGCCGCCGCGUCGGCGAGGCAGGUCACCAGGAGGAACUUCCCGGAGGCUCUGCGGGAUCUGGCGGCUCACGUGAAGGAGUGCGACUACGUGGCUAUCGCGGCGCUGAAGACGGGCGCCCCCACCGGGUGGCGACGCGCGCUGCCGGUCGACACGGCGGAGACGGCGUACCUCAAGGCCAAAUUCGCCUCCGAGUCCUUCCAGCCUCUCCACAUAGCCGUCUGCCCGUUCCGCUUGGGCUCUGCCUCCGGCUCCGACGUUGUCGCCUACCCGUACAAUUUCCACUUGUUUCCCAGAGAUGAACUACAGCUUGGAAUGCCUUCUUAUAGUUUCUCCUGCCAAUCAUCUUACUUUUCAUCGAUGGCCCGUGAUGGUUUUGAUUUUAAUAUGUGCAUUUAUGAUGGUAUAUCUUACCUAUCAAGGGUGCAAGAAUCCUUGGCUAGGCAAAAGACUUUCACCCCUCAUCUUCAGCAGCCAUCUCCAUCAGCAAGUGCAUCCGUUGCUGAUUCAGUUUUUACAACUAGAAUUAAGUCAAGAAUUCAGCAUUGGCGUAAAGGAUGUGCAGAACCCAGUAAAACAGCUGAUGGAUCUUUAGUUAGUUCUCUCAGAAAACUAAUCAUGGGCAGUGAAUCAUAUGGUUCAAGGCCCAGUAUGACCAUCGAUGUUUGCAGUGAUCGCCAAGUUCAACUUGUUUUGGAGACAGUAAAUGGUACCUCUGGUGAUCUUGUACCUCUUGUUGUUCCGGAUAAAGGUGGGGUGCCUAGGGCUGUGCGUGUGAUCUUUACUAGUUCUGCAGAGGAUAAAAAUCUUCUCCUGAUGGACAUCCAAAAAUUGGAAGAUGAGCAGAAUUUGAAGUUUCGCGGAUUUCGGGAAGUUAUUGAUCUAGUAGCAUCUUCAGAGAAACCAAUCAUAUCAUACAAUUGCUUGAAUGACCUAACAAUGAUGCACACACAAUUUAUUGCGCCUCUUCCGCCGAACCUGCAUGAAUUUAUGUGUUCUUCGAGGCUGGUUUUCUCUAGUGUUGUUGAUAUUGGCCACUUGUGGCGAGAAAUUAGCCCUUUGAGAAAAGCGAAGAAUAUACAAGCAGCUCUGAGUUACUUACAGAGACAGUACUUUGUGCCAAUGGAAAUAGAAAUACCACUGCAAGAUGGUACCAAGGGUGUCACAAAAAGUGGAGAAAAUGUUCUGAGAAUAACAAAAUUAUUUGCUAAGCUAAGCAAGUUACUUAAAAUCACUCCCAAUUGUCAAUCUCAGUCUGGUGAGCAGCAUUACACAGUUGAAGAUCACCGUAACAUUCUUUAUCCCGGUUGCAUGGUGGAAGAAUCUGAUGGUGUUGACUGCACUAAUGAGCCAGAUACCACAAGGACAGCGAGCACCCAGAGUGUUGUUUUCUUGUGGGGCUUUAGGGAGACAUCUGCAGAAGAGCUGAGAUCCCGCCUUGCAAGAUUGCAUCAUGUCUUCUCAAAGGAUUUUGAUCUAAGAUUGUUGGACAAGACAUGCUCAGCUUUGAUAUUUCGUAGUUCUGAUACUGCAAGUGAAUUACUAAGAGACAUAAGCUUGGAGAGUCCCUCACUAAAUAAUUUCUUCUCAGAAGGUCUGAAAGCUGCAGGUUUUGAUGUCUACAGGAAGGCUUGCAGUUUAGGGCUUUGGGAUUCAGAUUUAGCUGAGGCCCUGGAGGGCGUUUCAUUGGAGCCAGCCACUUCAACAAUUUCUGAGCGUGGUAGCUCUGAGAUAUACUGGAAUAGUUCAUUGAAGCUGGAUCUAAAGGAGUAUCUGGAAUGCUAG
rnacentral:rRNA from 1 species